GGGGCAUCCACAGCCUCCUUGGGCAACCUGUUCCAGUGUGUCAUCACCCUCUGAGUGAUGAUGUGGGCUGUCCUUACGCCUGUGGUCACUGUCAGCUCACAGGCACACACACCGGGCUCUGUGAGCGCAGGGAGCUGCCCCAGGGGCACACAGCCACCUACGGCUCCUUCUGCAGAGCUGACCCACUGGGUUGGACCCACUGCUGGCUUUUGGCACAGAUGCUUCAUGUGCCCUAAGACCUGGUCAGAACUGUUAAUGUCACUGUAUCCCUUACGCCAGAGUUUCUUCUGCAACAGGGUGGUUUUUAUCCUCAGUAUUGGAGCAUGGCCUGCACUGCUCUUCCCACCCAAUAGAGUCAAAGUAUGUUAUUCAUUAUUCACCGAAAGGUACUUUAAUAUUUCACCUGAGUUUCAUUAAUGGGACAGGGAAUGGAAAGGCUAAGUUUUAAUGCUAUGGAAGGGACGGCAGCCAUCCAAACUGGAGUGGGCUCACAAGACACAGACUUGCAGGAAGCAGCAUCAUAACCCUCACCAGGGAUAAAACCUGGCAUUUAGGGAAGCGGCUGUCAGGCACUCAUCCUGCAUCUCUCUUCAACAUCCUUAUGAGCCACGGACUCAGGCCAGCGCACACAGUCAAACGAAGCCAGUGUCAGACAGCAGUCCGCUUGUCUGAAAGAUGCAGGUCCUGCCAACCCUGUGACUCUCCACAGCAGAAAAGCCUUCUGUUUUGUCGUACUGCUGUCCUGCAUGCAGCAAAUUUGCGCUGGGAUUCUGCUGCGGAUGGCAUUUGCUUUCACUCAUAGCAGUGAAUGGUUUAUGACGGUUUGCUUCAAAGGUACAUGCAUUAUCAGGAUGGGAGAGUGGGCAAAAAGAGUGCAA
rnacentral:lncRNA from 1 species